UUAAACUUGGAUUGGUGCCAUAGAUGAGCACUGAAUCUUGGUUUGUUUUGCCAUAUUAUGACUUGUUUGCAUCCUACCCCUUCUCCUUAGGUCCAGUUUAUCUAGGCUUGCUUCUGUGGGAUAUUUGAAACCACCCAAUGACAGAAUGGGCCCUGAACCACUUCAGACUUUAUAUACAGGAGAACCCCAUUAAAUGCAGACCUGGCAUCCAUGGUUCCGUGUAUCUGCAGUCAGCCUGUGGCCAAGUGAAUGAGGAAAGUAUGGAAGUUUAGGGACUUACCAGCUAUCUGGGACUGAUGAGAAGCCAUAUGGGUCUACUCCCCAUGGCACAAGGAAGGCAUCUCCUGAUCAUGUGGAAGGAUGGAUGUGACCCUAUGGUGGAAAAAUAUGACCCAGACAAAACCUUGGGAGAAUUUCUAGCUGCUGAGUGAGUGGGUCUCUUCACCUCAACCUCCUGAAAUGGGGUGAUCAGAUUGGACCAGGAAGACUCCUCCUUACACUCUGGCUAUAAAGGAAAUGGCUUUUUGAGAGGAAACUCAGAGGAACCACCAGAACCAGGGGACAAACACGCAGAAUCAGAGUUUCUCUUGUCCCUACCAGAUCAGUGCCAGCUGAUUCCAGGACUCAGGCCAAGAAACGGAUAAGCUUGUAAGUGGACUUUGUGUGAGCGAGAGUAUGUGUUUGCUUGAGGCUGCAAAGCUGGUGGUUUUGAUUGUAGCACUGCUUCUUAUUAUUAGGAUUGUGAUUCUCAUAUUACUUGCUG